rnacentral:rRNA from 1 species
GGCUCAGAUUGAACGCUGGCGGCAGGCCUAACACAUGCAAGUCGAGCGGAUGACAGGAGCUUGCUCCUGAAUUCAGCGGCGGACGGGUGAGUAAUGCCUAGGAAUCUGCCUGGUAGUGGGGGACAACGUUUCGAAAGGAACGCUAAUACCGCAUACGUCCUACGGGAGAAAGCAGGGGACCUUCGGGCCUUGCGCUAUCAGAUGAGCCUAGGUCGGAUUAGCUAGUUGGUGAGGUAAUGGCUCACCAAGGCGACGAUCCGUAACUGGUCUGAGAGGAUGAUCAGUCACACUGGAACUGAGACACGGUCCAGACUCCUACGGGAGGCAGCAGUGGGGAAUAUUGGACAAUGGGCGAAAGCCUGAUCCAGCCAUGCCGCGUGUGUGAAGAAGGUCUUCGGA